AUAGAAAUGAGGGCCAACAAUGUGUAUUGUAAUUUUUAGAAGUUAGAAAAAAGAACAUGCCAUGCACAUCAGCACAUAUAUUAUUGAGCUCUUUUAUGGUAAUCGUCGAGAAUCCGUUGAUAGGGUUAUUUCUUCUUUUCAUGGGCCGUAACUCUAUUCCUCGAUCCCUAGCGUCGGCCGCCCGAGCGAGGCCCCUCCGCCGCCCGAGCCCUUCUCGUCGACCGUCCGCCACCGCCCGCGCUCUCCUCCGCCCGUGGGGCGCCUCCGUUGGCCGGCCGCGCUCCUCCUCGGAUGUAGCCCAGCCAGAUCCACCGCGGCGCCAUCCCCCAUCGGCAGGUCUGAAGAGGGGAUUGGACGGUGACGACGCGGACGGCUCCUUGCAGUGCCACCGCCAUGUCUUUCCUUCGACUCGUGGCUGCCUCCCCCUCCUUCGACGGGACGCCGAUCUUCCGCUAGAAGGUCUCAAAAAGUUCAAUUUGUCUGAAUUGGAGGCCGCUACAAAUAACUUUUCAGAACAGAGCUUGAUUGGAGAAAGUGUCUCUUGUACCGUAUACAAGGCUUGAAAAGAAUGUGAAAAACUUGCAAGAAAACUGCAUAUUGUAAGAUGCAAUACGACUCUUUUGUUCAUUUGUCUACAGGUUGUCCUCUUCAGAACCUGUGUACUCCUUUUUUUGCAAAGAUGCAAUAGGACUCUUUUGUUCAUUCGUACAGAGGUUUAGAACCUCUAUACUCAGCAAAGCCUUGACAGGUUCAGGCUCUCCUCUGUAAAAUGCUGCUAGCCUGCCAUGCCUACCGGAAGGAUUGUGAUACAUAGUAGUUUGGAUAUUAAAUGGGAUAGUAGUAGCUCUACUCUAAGCUUUUCCAUAAAAAUCUCUACUUCAAAAUGUUUUUCUGUACAUAUGGGUGACUUACAAGGAAGUAUAUGACUCUGUGCUUAAGACGGCGGCUUCAAUUCGGAGUUGCAGCGUCAGCAGUGUAAGUGGCGGUUGGCGGUGUGGGCAUUUGAAACUUGUUCACUGAUUUUUGCACACCUGGGGUGAUCCUGUUGAUGUCAAAAUUGGCUGCAUGCAGAAACACAAGGAUUUGCAAUUUGAUGCUUGGCACUUAGUAACGAAUGCAGUCACCUGGAAAUGUUAGUUCUUAUUGCAAUUGCAGGCACAAACCAUUACGAUUAAAGCAAAGAGUCACAACUUCAAGAUUAAAAUGCUCACGAAAGAACACCAGCACACCUGCAAGUCAACUGGUCUAAUGCUCUGGGAAUCAGCUCAAUUCAUGUGCAGUCUUUCUAGCGGAAAAUCCCUCCAUAGUUGCCGGCAAAAGGGUGCUGGAGAUAGGCUGUGGCUCAGCUGGCAUCUGCUCAGUGGCUGCUGCCAGUUUUGCUCAGUUUCUUGUAGCUACUGAUGGGGAUGAAGAAUCGAUUGAUCUACUUAGACCAGUUGCAUAACAGAAUUUUUAUUAGGAAGCUAUUUUGGGGCGAUGAAGAUGAUAUGAAGGAAGUCAGGGAGCUUUCUGGCGAUUCUGGAGGUUUUGAUUGUAUAAUAGGCACUGACGUCACCUACAAUCCUGAUGCUAUACUUCCUCUCUUCAGAACUGCUAGAAAAUUGAUUUCUGACCAGAGCAAUGGUGAUUCAGAGGCAGCCCUGAUUCUUUGCUACAUUCAGCGCCGUGUUGAUGAGGAUUCUAUCCUUUCUAUUGCAACAGCCCAAGGCUUCAGACUUGUAUCAUUAGCUCUUGGUUCUGUGGUAAUGAUGUAUGCAGUGCUUUCCGGAAUGUAACACUUUCCAUUUUUUAUUUUGAAGUGUGAAACACUGGUGCCUGAAUUGCAUGGUUACCAUACUUGCAGAUUUAUUUUAUUUCUCCUUAGCUACUGUACUAAAGGAAUAUUGUUGUAUGUCACAACUGUACUGAUAUGACUGUUGUGAUAUCAGUAUGAAGUAUUUGGUUUCAACUUCCA